UAAUCUAGAAGUUCCAGCAAUGAUUUUUCCUUCUCCAACCAUUAAAUUUAAUUCAAAUUUAGUAUAUAGCUUGAUCUUUAAUUCUUCCAAUACCAUGCAAAAUUUUAGCUUGAUCCAAUAAGUAAAUCUCUAGAUAUUAUAGAAACCCUAUCCAAUCUCAAACUGCCAACUUGUCACGGACACAAAAUACAGACUUGAAAUCUAACAAGAAGUUCAAGAAGAAGUGGCAGAACUAGAUUAAACAGAUGAGUACAA
rnacentral:lncRNA from 1 species